UGAUGUGGCUCAGUCGGUAGAGCGCAUCCUUGGUAAGGAUGAGGUCGCCGGUUCGAUUCCGGCCAUCA
rnacentral:tRNA from 1 species